rnacentral:rRNA from 1 species
GGAAUUUCUCCCUGGUGCGGAGGGUCCGGGAAUCGGGCCGGGGAUCUUCGGACCCCGCCCAGCUCUCGACUGGGCCCGACGCCGCGUGCACUUUCCGCGGGCAGAGCGCCACGACCGGUUUCGCGGCGGCGAUAAGCCCGUUGCGGAUGCGUGGCACGAUCUCACGGUCGUGCUACGGCCGCUCGCGGUGAGCCGCUGUCGGGACCGAGGGACGGCCGCGUGCUUCGAGGCUGCCCGGCCUCGCUGGGGAGUUCGACUGGCAGGGACUGGGUAACCGUGCCUGCCGACUGCUCCCCGGUGCCGGUUCGGGACAGCCGGGCGCGUC